AAUGAACGUUGGCGGCAUGGAUUAGGCAUGCAAGUCGAGCGAGAAGUGUAGCAAUACACGGAAAGCGGCGGAAGGGAGAGUAAUACGUGGGAAUCUGCCCUUAGACCUGGGAUAGCAGCGGUAAACUGCUGGUAAUACCAGAUGAUGUCUAUGGACCAAAGGUGUGAUUCCGUCUAGGGAUGAGCCCACGUCCUGUUAGCUAGUUGGUAGGGUAAUGGACUACCAAGGCGAUGAUGGGUAGCGGGUGUGAGAGCAUGACCCGCCUCACUGGGGCUGAUCCACUGCCCCGACACCUACCGGUGGCUGCAGUCGAGAAUCUUCGGCAAUGGGCGCAAGCCUGACCGAGCGAUGCCGCGUGCGGGAUGAAGGCCUUCGGGUUGUAAACCGCUGUCGAGGGGGAGCAACUUCCAUAGAGUUAUCUUUAUGGAUUGAGUGAUCCCUGGAGGAAGGACGGGCUAAGUUCGUGCCAGCCGCCGCGGUAAUAC
rnacentral:rRNA from 1 species